CAAUUUUGUAGACGUCCUGGAGGGGCAGACGCAAGGGCUUGUCAGUUGGACGAGUUGGUGGCAGGAUGCAAUCCAGAGCUUCAAGCAGUGUGGUUCCACUGGCAUUGCCAUCUUUACGGGUGACUUUCCAUCCCUUGAACCAAGGCAUCUGCAACACAACGUCAAUUAGCACUUGGGAAAAUGGAU